GGACCGUGGUACUGGAAAGUCCAGCUUGAUCGUAACUGCUGCGGCGGACAAUUUUCCAGUGAAUGUCCCCCCAGUAUUGCCACCGACGAGGCUGCCUGAAGAUUUUUAUCCGGAUCGCGUUCCCACCACAAUUAUCGAUACUUCAUCACGCACUGAGGAUAGUGCAAAAGUUGCUGAAGAACUUAAGCGAGCUGAUGCAGUGGUGCUAACUUAUGCUUGCGAUCAACCUCACACCCUUGAUCGGC
rnacentral:misc_RNA from 1 species